ensembl:lncRNA
CAAAAACAAGCUGUGGUCUGGAUGUGGUCUGGAUGUGACCCAUGGGCCAUGGGUCAUAAGGAUAGUAAGUAUUCAUCUACUUGAAUCCUUCCCUGAUUCAUGCUCAGCCAUUUCUUGGGUGCUCCAGUAAAAUGGAACUUGCUAUCUCACUGGACAACGCAUUACAUCAUCAGAAAUUUAAAACUGUUCCGUGGUUGAUGUUAACCCAAAAGCAGAUCGUGAGGUGCCAGAGACGCAUUUGAGAAGUGAUCCCAUGAAGUCCAUGAGGGUGGGGAACCACCUACCAGAGAGGAGCGGGCGAGGAAUGCUGUGAUUUUCAAAGAGGAAACUUCAGCCAGAAAAAGGAGCAGAUGGCCCUGUAUCAGGCCUCCUGCAGGGUGAAUAUUUUGGAGGAGUCAGGGCUUUUCUGCGAUUUGUACCUGCCCUAUUAUGGUGGACCAUAGAAGACUUCACCAGACGUUGGUGUCAUGCUUUUAGACUUCCAGCCUCCAGAACCAGGAGCCAAAUAACCUUCUGCUAUUUAUAAGUUACCCAGUUUGUGAUGUUGUUUUUCUCUCUUGUUUGGAUUUUGAGACAGGGUCUCACUCUGUACUUCAGGCUGGCCUCAAACUGCUUGGGAUUACAGGCCUGGCUUGGCAUUCUUUUUAUAGCGGCAGAAAAUGGACAGAAGGAAAAUGAAGGUGGCUUUGUGACACAUCUGUAAGCCCAGCACAGAAUGAUUGUGAGUUUGAGGCCAGCCUGGGCAAGUUCAAGGCCAGCGUGGACUAAAUAGUGAGACUUUGUCUCAAAAAAGAAAAAAAUAAAUAAAAUGAAGGUGAGCAAAACUGAAGAUGUUUGCUGUAAAUGCUUAGUAAGUCUUAAUGCAUUAUUGAAGUUCAUAAAAUGAUAACUCCCUUCAGCUAUCUCAUGUGGCAAUUUUUAUUCCUUUUCAAAUAAGUUGUAUAUGUUUGAUCUUAUGGAGCUUUGUAACAUUCCUAUGAGGUAGACAGAAGUACAAGUGUUACCUUUCCAUUUUACAGAUGAGGAAAUCAAAGCACAGAGCUGUCACACAGCAGGGAGGUAUGGCUUUGCCUACAGUCACACAGAGCUGUAGCUGGUUCAGAAUUCACUGGCAGAGCCACUGUGAAUGGAAACUGGAAUAUGCAGGGUAUGGGUUAAUCAAGGCCUGACAUGGGGUUUGAAUCAGUUGCCAGGGUUUGUCCCUGAGCAAACAGUCUGUGCUGGUAGCAGUCCGGCAUGUCAAGGACCCAUUGUUGAUGUCCUGGCAGGUGGCAAGGGAAAGAACUGGUACAUAGGCAGGACAUUCUCACCCCAGGAACACCCUCUCAUGACUGAUUCCCUUUACAUCAACCAGCUGGAUACAAGACUUGGUUUUUCCUGUCCCAGAAAAAAAUGCCAAUCAAAACAACAAAAAAAGAGAGGGAGGCGGGCUGACUUCUCUCAAGGGAACUUGGUCCUAGAGCCAGGAGUAUCUCUGCCAGGAUGAGAGGGG